rnacentral:misc_RNA from 1 species
GUUCUGUGAAGCUUCUCAUGCAUUUCGAGUUUAAAUAACUUUGUAGAUCUUGAAAAGGGAGCUUUGCUAGUUUCAUCUAUGUGAAGCGUAGCAAAGUUUAUAAACUAUAUACAAGUUACAACCACAUGCAAAGUUGUAAGAUAUAUAUGUACCAUCAGAUAGAGUACACACAGACUGAUGGAAAUAAGGUUAGCAAAGUUUAUAAACUAUAUACAAGUUACAACCACAUGCAAAGUUGUAAGAUAUAUAUGUACCAUCAGAUAGAGUACACACAGACUGAUGGAAAUAAGGU